rnacentral:rRNA from 1 species
GACGAACGCUGGCGGCGUGCUUAACACAUGCAAGUGGAGCGACGAACCAGGGCUUGCCCUGGGGCAGAGCCGCGAACGGGUGAGUAACACGUGGGUAACGUGCCCCGAUGACUGGGACAACCCGGGGAAACCCGGGCUAAUACCGGAUGUGCCCCCUCACAUCAGUGAGGUGUGUAAAGGAAGCUUCGGCCUCCGCAUCGGGAUCGGCCCGCGGCCCAUUAGCUUGUUGGUGAGGUAACGGCUCACCAAGGCUGCGAUGGGUAGCUGGUCUGAGAGGACGAUCAGCCACACUGGGACUGAGACACGGCCCAGACUCCUACGGGAGGCAGCAGUGGGGAAUCUUGCGCAAUGCGCGAAAGCGUGACGCAGCAACGCCGCGUGGGGGAAGACGGCCUUCGGGUUGUAAACCCCCUUCAGUCGGGACGAAGGUCGGGCGGUUAACAGCCGUUCCGGCUGACGGUACCUUCACAAGAAGCCCCGGCUAACUACGUG